rnacentral:tRNA from 1 species
CGCGAAGUAGAGCAGCGGUAGCUCGUCGGGCUCAUAACCCGAAGGUCGGAAGUUCGAUCCUUCCCUUCGCAA